AUUUUGUGCAAAUUGGGGUAAAAGUUUUGUAAAUAGACUAGUCCACGUAUACCAACAGUAUGUAAUCAUCCAAUUCGAUAGACUAUUGUAUACCAAAAGAAGAAGAAGAAGAAGAGGACCAAUUUGAUUUAAAUACAGGUCGAUCUAUAACUUGCUUUGGUUCAUCGAAGUUAUGAACAUAGUAAAAUCACAGAUUUAUAUAUCAAUUAGAUUGUUCUCGAAUAAAGAAAAGAAUUCGUCAUCACCACAACUGUUCCGACAUAUGCAACUGGACGUACACUAAUAAUCCCCGAGGGAUGUGAAUAUUUUCUAGGAAAGCUAUUGAGUAUUAAAGUUUCAAAUCAUUUUCGCGAUUUAUUUUCUUUCUUGAUAUUCAAUGACAGCAAAUUUAAAGAAUAAACUGCUUGUCAGAUAUUUGUCCACUUUAGGGGUAUUCUUGCCAGUUGAACAGACUUAUAAUUACAUUCAAAAAUAGGGAAAGAUGACAUUAAAUUCGUUGUCUUUUGUUUUUAAACAUCUUUGGUCAAAUAGUUAUUAAGUAUUAUACGUUGUGAGACGAAGACUACUUUAAUAAGGACGUCCCCAAUUAUGAUUAAAUUUGGUUGACGUUUUU
rnacentral:lncRNA from 1 species